rnacentral:rRNA from 1 species
GGAUCAAUUUAUUGGUCGUGCUAUUGUGCGUACUGGUAUUAUUGAUUUCUACCUUCUGACGAACCAUGAUGUCAUUAAUUUGGUGUCAUGGGGAAUCAGGACUGUUACUUUGAAAAAAUUAGAGUGUUUAAAGCAGGCUAACGCCUGAAUACAUUAGCAUGGAAUAAUGAAAUAGGACGUUCGAUCCUAUUUUGUUGGUUUCUAGGAUUGACGUA